rnacentral:rRNA from 1 species
UUUCCCUUCGGGGAGAAGUAGAGUGGCGCGCGGGUGAGUAACACGUAGGUAAUUUGCCUUCGGGUGGGGAAUAACUCAGGGAAACUUGAGCUAAUACCGCAUAAUGCAGCGGCUCGACAUCGAGACAGUUGUUAAAGCGGGGGAUCGCAAGACCUCGCGCCUGAAGAGAAGCCUGCGGCAGAUUAGCUAGUUGGUAGGGUAAUGGCCUACCAAGGCGACGAUCUGUAACCGGCCUGAGAGGGCGGUCGGUCACACUGACACUGACAUACGGGUCAGACUCCUACGGGAGGCAGCAGUCGGGAAUUUUGGGCAAUGGGCGAAAGCCUGACCCAGCAACGCCGCGUGAAGGAUGAAAUCCCUCGGGAUGUAAACUUCGCAAGAAUGGGAAGAAUAAGUGGGGGACAAUACCCCCCAUGAUGACGGUACCAUUUGUAAGCUCCGGCUAACUCCGUGCCAGCAGCCGCGGUAAUACGGGGGGAGCAAGCGUUGUUCGGAUUUACUGGGCGUAAAGGGCGCGUAGGCGGUCGUGACAAGUCACUUGUGAAAUCUCCGGGCUUAACUCGGAACGGUCAAGUGAUACUGUCGGACUAGAGUACAGAAGGGGCAACUGGAAUUCUCGGUGUAGCGGUGAAAUGCGUAGAUAUCGAGAGGAACACCUGCGGCGAAGGCGGGUUGCUGGGCUGAUACUGACGCUGAGGCGCGAAAAGCAGGGGAGCGAACGGGAUUAGAUACCCCGGUAGUCCUGGCC